UUUUUUUUCCAUGUUUUGUUGCCUCACAACCUGGAAUUAACAUGGAUUGUGUGAGGAAUUGCAUCAUUUCAUUUACAGAACAUGCCCACAACUUUGAAGAUUUUUUUUAUUUUAUUUUUUUUUUUAUUGUGAAGCAAUCAACAAAUAGGACAAAAUAACAAAAACAGUCAAUGUGCAUAACUAUUCACACCCUAAAGUCAAUACUUUUGCAAGGCACUGUAUUGAGAGAUCUGCCCGACAAUCCAGGCAGUCCACCUGAAACCAAAUCCGUCAAUCUAGCCUAUCAGUGUCCUUGUGAUCACAUGCCUGACCGGCUAGAUUGGCUGCAGGGGAACUGCCUCAGUUGUCAGGCAAGUCCCCCGUUCAUGAUUGCCACGGAGAGUAUUUGGGCUGGAAGGAGGGCCUGAUCAUUAGGGCAUGCUAUGCCACCCUAACUUAAAGUCAUCCUUUUGUAUGAUGGCAUAGCAAGCACUAACACUGGGAAAGUGUUAAAAAUGUUGUUUCAUAUUUUUAGU